UAGCCGUAAACGAUACUCGCUAGGUGUCGGCCACGGUGCGACCGUUGUCGGUGCCGUAGGGAAGCCGUGAAGCGAGCCACCUGGGAAGUACGGCCGCAAGGCUGAACUUAAAGGAAUUGGCGGGGAGCACCACAACGGGUGGAGCUUGCGGUUUAAUUGGAUUCAACGCCGGAAAUCUUACCGGGACCGACAGCAACAUGAAGGCCAGGCUGAAGACUUUGCCGGAUUAGCUGAGAGGUGGUGCAUGGCGUAGUCGUGU
rnacentral:rRNA from 1 species